UACGAAGGGUGCAAGCGUUACUCGGAAUUACUGGGCGUAAAGCGUGCGUAGGUGGUUCGUUAAGUCUGCCGUGAAAGCCCCGGGCUCAACCUGGGAAUGGCAUUGGAUACUGGCGACCUAGAGUGCGGUAGAGGGGUGUGGAAUUCCCGGUGUAGCAGUGAAAUGCGUAGAUAUCGGGAGGAACAUCUGUGGCGAAGGCGACACCCUGGACCAGCACUGACACUGAGGCACGAAAGCGUGGGGAGCAAACAGG
rnacentral:rRNA from 1 species